GUCACACUUACCCUUGGCUGUAACCUGGGGGCUGGUUUGGGGCUUUAUCUUGUAGGAAACAGGACUGAAGGGCGAGAAUGGUUCCUCUUCUAGUCUUCAUACCAUGGCUCUGGGUGGCCCAGUGGUGCCUUGGCAUCAGAUAAGCAGAAGGGAACAACUCUCCUCACACCUUCUGCAAGGCACCUCAUGGACUGGAAGAUGCUCAGCACUGCCGUGGAGGUGGGGCAGCACCAGCAUAUUGGUGUAUGCCAUAUGCCAUCAUUAAGUUAUUACUCUUUCAACAGAAAGAUAUCGUUUAUGCCAACCACACUUCUCCUGCCCUGUAGCUAAAAACCUUCACUGGAUUAAGAGAUAGGGCUAAAAAGGCUAUUUCAGAGCACACUUUUCUUGUGUACUACAGCAGCUAGUACAAUACCCCAAGCAGAGUACUACAGUGACUUUUUUCCUAAGUGAAAAAUUCCUGAAGGAGCAAAAAGGCAAUCUCUCUGAUAAUCAUCAGCUCCUCAACUAUAUUAAAUUUAGACAAGGCUACAAUAGUGCCAGAGUUGUCCCCUGCCCUCUAAAAUUAGAACUGAAAGAAUGGCGGGCGUAGUGCUAAAUAUAUAACUCAUUUAAAAAUAAUGUGCUCUCAGGCUUUCCUAAUGCUUGAAAAACUGAUCACCAUAAAUCCCUACAGAUGUGCUUGCAGCCCGCCCGCCUCCAUCAGCCCCAAACACGCUUCUGUAGGAUACAGCCUUUCCAAACAUCCCCUUUCCUCCGCAGCGCUCAGGAAAGAGAAAGCAAUAAAGGUUUGCUGCAGUUAAGCAACACACUGCCCAUUUAUCUGAGAGGACAAAAACUUAACCUGGCCUCCACCUCCUUUAUAGAAGAGGAAAAAAAAUAGGAGGAAAAUAAAUAGAAGAGAAGUAAAUAUUUACUGUAUCUUCUCAGACCUGGCAGGUUGGAGAAAGGCCCACUGUUCGAGGACAUUAGAAGCGGUGGCUUUAACUUUGCAAGCUGCAGGACUAAACAAAUCUCCACAAGGAAAAAAAGCAAAUUAAGAAGCCUCAUCUCUAUUUCUGUUACUUAAAUCUCCCAAAGUUAAGUAGCAUUAAUAAUUUCAGAACAACCAGAAGCAGAACAGAUUAACAGCAGAUUUGUAGAGAAGCUGAGGUACAAAACUCCCUCCCUUACUUCCAAGUUCAUAGCAACUUCUACCCAUAAAAACAAAAAAAAUUCCCUUUUCCUUUCCAACUUCAUUCUAGCAACAUGAAAAAUACUGUAAAGAAGCAUAUGUAUAAGUAGAAGAAAGAAGAAGUAGGUUGAGGCCUUCACUGAAUUUAUAGCCAGCUGCGGCCUGUGGUGCAAAUUGGCCCAAAGGAAUGCUGGGAGCUUAGAGGACUUAACAGCCUCCAUCUUGGAGGGUGUGGGCUUUGAUUUGCCAUCUGUUUCUCCUUCUCAGUUAAUUUGACUAUUAGAGUGGCUAUAGCAGAUGUUAAGCCUCUGAAAAGAGCAAUCUGAGGGGGUGGAGAGCUUUUUGUGGGGGAACCUGAGAACUCUUACCUGUGUGGUGUGGCUCUGGGAAGGCAACAAGGCCAAAUGGGGCUUUGUAAAACUCAGACCUCACUUAACUGCAAAAAUGAGGCUCACUGGUUGUGCAUGAUUUUGGGCUGCUGUACUUAGAGGAAUGCAGUGUGUGGAUCCAGCAAUAUGCAGGCAGUGCAGAGCUCGAGCCUGGGGCUGGUGGCCAUUCGCAUAUGGGACGUCUCGAUUUGGUGUCAGGGGACCUGCAGCUGACUGAUGCUCUUAAGGUCUGUUCAACUCUGUGCUUUGUGCUCCAACUGGGAGAGCAAAGGAGUGGGAGAAUGUUCCUGGUCCGUCUCUUCCGAAGGAGUGUUUACAACAGCCUAAGGAAGAACUAUGGAAAGUGAAAACAAAUGAAAUGGGAAGGGGAAAAAUGCCUUUUCUUUGCUAUUUCUACGCUAAUAGUGAAACACUAAUUUAAACCAGGACCCUUUUUGGAAAUGAGUCAGAAGUGAGCUAUGGCCAGCUACUUUUAAACAGUAUUUCUGCUUCUAUGUUGCAAGGAGAUUUUACAGCUCCUGCCCCUAAGCCAGAUCAUUAAGCACUUACACUUCUUUAGAUCUAAGCCAACGAGAUGAUUUUCUGGUGACCAAACUUUUCUCUAAUGCUCGUGCCUUUAUGAAUCUUCUCAAGAUCUCAAGGAAGCUUCCUUUUUUAAGAAGUCUAGUCCCUCAGCGAUCUCGGGCUGGAUUUGCACAUUUAACUCCCAUCAAAUGCUAAUAGGAAUUCGU